CUAUAUUAAAGUGCAACCAACCUCUUUUUUCUUAGAAUUUUGAGGGGAUUUAGGAAUUAACUUGGUGGUGAUUUUCGGUGCUCCUUAGUACAUAUUCUUCGAGCUGCUUCGUUUGUGGGCUGCUUUGGUGCAUUCCAUGUGUGGUUGUAGUGUUGGUUCCGUAGGUCAAAGCGGUGCCCACGUUUACAGAAAUGAACGAUCCAAAGCUCUGCCGCUCAACACUGCAUCUGGUUCGGAGCCAACUGCUAAUUUGUUCCCCUACCUCUCCGAGCCUCCACCUCUGCCAUCCCUCAUCGGCCGCCGCCCACAACCCUUCCCCAGGCUUCCCCCUCCCCUCCCUAGCUACUGUGGCGCUUGCAACGUAUUCAUCGGCGCGUCGGGCCCAGACGCAACAAGCCCUCCUCUUUCUCCCGAGGUCGCCGGCGGUGCGGAGAAGGAGCUUGGCGCCUUUUUCUUCCCAUGAAAGGAGGAUGGCAACAGGGAGGGUGACGCGCCGGCGCGAAUAUGGGAGGAGUGAACGCCGGCAGGUGCUCCUUUCCGGAUGCAUCUACCACCCCGAUGCAUUGUUGUCCCUAUGGGGAAUUCGCCUCCAUAGUUUACGGUGGGAGCUCGGCCGCCCUCUGGUACUUCUUCCUCCCACGUACUCUCUCUCUCUCUCUCUCUCUCUCUCUCUCUCUCUCUCUCUCUCUGGAUCUAGAUCGAACAACACAGGGAGGGCCAUGUUUGUAGGGGAUGAGGGGAGUUCUGAUUUUGUCAGAAAUCAACUACGAGCAGGUGAGGAUUAAGGUUUUGUUCUGAAAUUUUCUUUUUGUUUAAUGUUGGUUUCAGCUGUGAGUGUUUGUACUCCGAAGUGGCUGCUGACCUGGGAGCAAUAAUUCAAGAAGAGCCAUAAAAGAUAAAAAAAAUACAGAGAUUUACUUCUUCCCUAACUCACUUUCUUGCCAUAAUUAAUAAAACGUGCUUGGUUGUCUGAUCUUUUGGUUGCAUAAUACCUUGUGUUUCAUACCAGACGGGUAGAUUUCUGCAAGAAAAGAUAUGGACUCAACAUAUUGAGUUAUGUAUGUUGUUUGCUGCCUCUGAAUGCCCACUUCGCUUCUGAUAUCCUCACCCACCGAAACUGUGAACUCAGACAUUUAUCCGCAGAUAGAUAUGGGGCUUCCAUUGAACCUUUUGAUAGCUCUGAACUCUAUUAUGUUGUCUCUUUUUAUGUUUGAUCUUCUCCCUUCUGUUGCAACAUGCUCAUUAACUUAACAAUUAUGUGGACAGUUUGUUCAGGAGUUUGAGAGCAAGUCAUUUACUGACGAAAAGUUGCAAGUGGUGGAAGACAUCUCCUGUUGAGUUCGCACUCCGUCUUAGUACCAAGGCAAUCAAACGGAAUAUAUUUGGUGUGCCUCAAAGUAAAAAAGAGGUUGAAGCAUCUGGGCGCAAUGGGUACAAGGUACAUAAGCAUCAGGAAAUCUAAAUCGGUACCUGACGAUUGUGAAUGGAAACAGGAAGUUCAGAUAAGCCAAAGUUAGGGGCAUUCAUUGGACCAUUGUUUAGAUGUCUCAUAUCUUCAUUUUUUCCUCAAGUUCAAUGUAUAAAAUACAUUCAGCCGCAACAUACCGCUCUACGGAAGCUCCAAGACCUGGACAGAAUUCUAUGCUAAAUGAUGAUCACACAAUGUGUGUUUCUCUUUCUGGGUGGUGAAUUUACAUCAAGAUCACUCAGUCGCUUGCUGCGACGUUCGCUAAUGACCAACAACAGUAUACUGUGGUAUUCAUCAGUCAUUCAGCACACCAGGUCUGAAUCUUUGUGAAAUUAGAACAGUUGAACCAUGCUAAAUCUUGUCCACGGGUGGCCUCAUAUAGUUUAUUUGACACAGAGUUUGUUAGCACAUCUAGCCGCCAGUAACGUUAGGUGCAUGCAUGUGUCGAGCCCACCUGUGCUUGCCGCCGAACAACUUGAGAAUAUCUCAUAUAAUUCUGUUGGAUCAACUGCUGAGCAUGAGUCAUUUUCACGGCGGAAAGAGACCAUUCAGAUGGAGCACAGGGAAGAGUGCUUAGCUUCUGUGGAAGAAGUGUUUGGAAAUGAUCCGAGCAUUCAUAGUGACUUUAUCGCGAUCAAUUUCUUCGCCCUGUGCUCCUACAUCAUUUGAAAGCCAAUUUAAACAAAGUUUUCCUCUUCUGUACAAGUACUUUCAAGAAGCUCCCAGCAACACGGGAUAAUGGUAGUUGGGGCUAGUUCAUCUGGCGGAUCAGGUACUAGUUAACUGCUCUAGUGGCAAUCCACAAAAACCUACUUCAAGAUCACGUCCCUGGACAUGAUCUCGGGAUACUGGUGUAAACUUCAACAGGUGCCGCUUAAGGUCUUACCAUUCUGUCGAGUCCCAGUCAUAUUUAUCGGGUACCUAACGCGUCCGUUAGGAUUUUUCUUCGUAUCUGUUGAUACAGAUAAAAGUAGCAAACCGACGUCAGAGACGGCGCCACGCCUCACAGAACGGAUCUGGGGUCUUAUCUUCGCAAAGUUUUGCGGCAUUCAGAAAUUGUUCGCAACUUCGGGCUUCUGAGAAUAUAUUGUCGAGUGCUUAUUCGGCUGCUGGAAUGGCACAUUUUAUUGAGUCAACGGAUGACUUAUAUUGCUCUCCCGAUGGGAGUAUAUGCAGAGUUAUUUAUAACUCGAAAUAUACUUUUUUGCUCUUCUAUUUUUCUUCUUCUCUUUCUUUCUUUCUUUUUUAUAAUUUCAUCGGGCACGCGAACAGCGUUCCCGAUGGGAGUAGCCCCCGAGGCUACAGCCAAGGACUUGUGCUUGGGUGUAGGCUCCACGCCUUAUGCUGCUAUAUUUUCUUUCUCUCCCGAAGUUUUAAAAUUUCUCGGGUGCGCGAACAGCGCUCCCGAUGGGAGUAGCCCCCGAGGCUAUGAGCAAAUAUUUGUAUUUGAUCAUAGGCUCACGCCAUUUCUAUUUUGUCUUUCUUGAUCUUUUCAUUUUUUCAAAGUAGCCCCCGAGCAUUUGAUCAAAAACUUGUAUUUGAUCAAAGACUCUCCAAUAUUUUUCCAUGUCGCCUUUUUAUGAAGCUGUUGAGUCGAAUUUUUCUCCUGCCAAAGUGACGUUAUUGCUGACGAUAGCCACGAUUGCAAGUCCGAAAAUCGCGAGAAGUCUUCUCCCUCUGCCUUGCGGGCCCAAAUUACCCAUUAUCUUGACACGUCGUGCAAGUGGGGGACACACGUCCUCCGCUUUUCCUGGCGCACGUACCGUAACUUCUCCAGGGUUAAAAUACUUUUUUACCCCUAUUCCACGUGGUUAUCAUCUGCCGCACAGUUUUUCCAUCCAACGGUCCGCCGUUCUGCCGCAUCUCUAUAUAAGAUCCCCUUCUUCUUCCUCGAGCACUUCCGCUUGCGCCGUUCUCCUGCUGUCCUCUGCAAAACUUCCUUCUGCGCCCCACAACCCCCUGAGCUCAUCUUCUCCAAGCUGCAUUCCUGCGCCAUUGUUAAUGCCACCGCGUAGGUUGAUCAAACACAGCACGCCGGAAUCGUCGAUGGCUGCCGUAGAUCUGGGAAGCGCGGAGUGGGAGAGGUCCAAAAUCUCUACCCAAGACAUCAACCUCUUGAAGAAACUGGGGAUUAGCAAGAAGCCCAAGGCGCUAUGCUUCCCUAGUGAAGAAAGCUACCCAACCCCUCCAAUGGGGUAUCGGGUAAGUUUUGUCGACCAUCUCAUCCGCGACCUUUCUGCCCCCAUUCAUCCUUUCCUCCGCGGAUUGCUUUUUAUUUAUGGUCUGCAACUUCACCACCUCACGCCCAAUUCUAUCCUCCACAUUUCUAUUUUCAUCACCCUCUGCGAAGCCUUCCUUGGCGUCCAGCCUAACUGGGCGCUAUGGAAGCGCAUUUUCUUUUGUCGCCGUAAUGGCUCUCCCAAUGUCGCCUAUAAAAUAGGCGGCGUUGUUAUCUCCGUUCGCCCCGAAGUCGAUUACUUCGACGUCAAAUUCCCUGAUUCAGUUCAAGGGUGGCGCAAGAAGUGGUUGUACAUUCAGGAGGAAAACCAUGGAUGUGCUGAAGACAACAUCCCUCCUUUCGAUGGUGCCGAGAAAAUCUUUCGCCGCCGCUCCUGGGAUGCAGAGGCUACCGAGGAAGAAAAAUUAUCGACAGAAGUCCUGAUGACUCGCAUCCAUGAGUUACAGAAUACUCGCGGCAAAGAGCUGUCAGGUAUCCAAAUCACAGCGUAUUUUCUUAGAACCAGAGUGCAGCCUCUUCAGGCUCGCAAAUACCCUCUCUGGAAGUAUGCUGGCGACAAAGACGCAGAUCGGUUGUCGACGGAUUUAGAGGUCAAGGACUUAGAGAAGCUUGUCCGAAAAAUCUCCUCUCUCAGCAAAAAAGAUCCUGUCCCUUCUUCUUGCCGUGUAAAACCAUAUAGCGCCACCAAUGCGCUUCCCAAGGUAACCUUUGUCGAUUGAUUUGUUAUUGCCUUGCCAUCUUUUUUGUAACUCCUUUAUUGACACCUCCCCCUGUUUUUUGUAUAGAACCAUCCAAAUCUUUUCUCGCUUCCUCCCCUUCCUGAAGGUGGAGAAGUCGAUGAAAGGGCUGUUGUCACCGACGACAACCAAGAUGCCCCCUCUUUUGAGAAUGAACCCGCAGAUUCUCAAAAAUCUGCGGGAUCUUCUGAAAAGGAGGCUGCCUCUGAAGGCACUGCAUCGGCACAAUCUCCUCCUCCUGCUGUUUCUCCAAGGAACAAAAGGAAAAGGGCUGAUGUCGAAGAUUCCGACACCUCCAAAGCCGAAGAAGCUGUUCCUUCUCGUUCGAAGGCAGCUUUUGAUCCAUACCUUGACGCCCUCAUCAGCUCUGGCGAUGAGGAAGAAAUACCAGCUUUUGAUGCGACUGCUCGAACGAGUACGUCGCAUACUAUAGUUGUUUCUGAGGUGCAAAUUGAAGGAGAAGAAUCUUCGCCUCCUCAACAAAACCUCGAUGCUCCUACUCCUUCUUCAAGCCCCCUUGUCCCUUCACCAAAAAGGACAAAGGUGGAAACAAUCAUGGAGCCUGCCCGACAAUUGGGUAGCUCCUCAAGUCCUCUUUUGGAUGACCCUAUGAUCAAAGAGCUUAUUCGCAUAGGUGCCCAAUUCAUUGGGUACCGCGAGUAUGCCAGCAAGACCGAAGGUAAUGACUCUUUGCUUUCCCUUGUUCAUAACUUCUUGCUCUUGUUGUGUCGCAAUUUUGACUAUUUUUAACUAUUUUGACAUAAAAACUUGCGGAAGCCAACAAACUUGUCGACUCGCUUGCUCAGAAAUUAGAGCAAAGUGAAACGGCUCGCAAGAAGGCUGAACUUGAUGCUGGCAAGGCUAAAGCGGAGGCUGAUAAAGCCAAGGCAGAAGCCGCUGGUGUCGAAGAUCUGCAAAAAAGACUUCAUGAUGCCGAAACUUCUUUGAACGUGCAUAAAGCCGCGCAGGCUACUCGUGAAAAGGCGAUCAUCAAGCGCUUGAACUCGCAGAAUCGGCGCUUUGUCGGUAAAACAAACCAAGAAUUUGAGCUUGAAGAUCCCGACAACGAUCCUCUUCUCGACGCACUCUCUGUCCUUGAGUUUCAUGGAACCGAAGCUCGCGAAGGCAUUGAACAGGCUGACGCAGGAUUGUCACGGCUGUUCCGCUAUUUCUUCCCGAAGAAAAUGGAACCCAAGACUUUCCUUGCUCUUGCCAAGGACUUCAAUCCACCAGAAGAUCUUGGACUGAAGAUGCGCCAAGAAAACAUGAAGAUUGCUGUCGAAAGCACUGUCGCCUUGGUUGCUGACAGCCAACAAACUAUCGACUGGACGAAGGUUGGCGACACCGAAGAGAUGGAGACCACGAAGUGGCGAGCACUGAUCAGGGCGGCAAAGCCCAACACGAAGAAAAUCCUGGCCUAUCUCGGAAUCAAGCCAACUUCGACUCCCAGCUCGUCGAAGCCGGAGGUCUAGUUGAAUGCCCCUUCUUUUUCUUUCUUUAUUUUUUAUGUUUCUUUUGCUAUUGUCGCCAUAUUAGCUUUGGCGACAAUUACCUUAGUAGUAACUCCUUCUGUAAUAUCCAUGUAAAUUUUCUGAAGGUCAAUGGAAUUCUAUUUUGCGCGAUCAUUUGAUAUUGAAAUUUUCUUUUCCAGUUGAUAUUUGAUAACUACUCUGCCAAUCCUCAUCCUGACGAUACUUCUCCUGCUUCCUCCUUCUCGAAGAAAACACUUGUCGAUGAUAACCUCAUCGAAAGUUCUUCGAGCAAACAUUUGUCGCAAGAUUUGCAAGAACUUCGCCAGCAACUUCAAUCCAUGAAAAAACAAACUCUGGCAAUGAUGGAGCAAUCUCAAAAAGCAUCCGAAAGAGAGAAGGUUGCUCUCCAACAGACUAAGGAAGCCAUAGCUGCCAAGGAUGCUGCUGUGUCGGAAGCUGAGAAAGCAACUACUCGAGAAAAUAGCAUGCUUGAGCUAAUGUCUGAAGCUAGCGUGGAUAUGCUAGGUAUGUUUUUCCAACCUCACGCUGCUCCUUCUUUUUACUGUGCCUCUCCUUAAAUUCCUUGCUUUGUCUCUUGAUAGGCUCGGUUCUCGACGCUGCCGCUGAAGAUGAAAGAGUGAAUGUAAGAACGAAUCUCCUCGUCAAUCUUUCACUUAACCAUGGCUGUCUGUUCUGGGCCACUCCUGAGCGAACCCAACAGAUUGUCAGGUUCCAAGAUCGCGCUUGUCAGGUGCGCGAAUUUCUUAAUUUCUGCACGAGAACCUUGACCCUUGUUUACAAGACUUUAUUUCAUCGGGAUGAGGCUCCCGAAACUCUUCUUGGAUUGAUGGAGAAAUUUAGAGAUGCCCCCCGUAUUCACAAUUUUGUGCGAGCUCAGUUAACUGCUGGAGCAAGGUUUGCCAUGAUCAUGAUACACAUUUGCCAUCCCAAAUUGGACUUGACGAAGAUUGUUGCUGACUGCUUGGCCAAGAAAUCGCGGCGAAAAAAUAACAUUGACGCAAUCAAUGAUAUGGUGAGUCCUGUGGCCGAGUCGAUGAUGGAUGAACUUCUUCGGAUGGAUUCAGAAUUCUUCGUCAAGGGGACCUAUGCUGAACACAAGACAACCAGAGGUUUAUCCAUAGAUAGUAUAUUAGGCCUUGACUGAGCUGUACUAUAUUGCGAUAAAUUAUGUCUAUAUCUUGUCAAACUCUUUUUGUUCCGAAGAAUUUGUUUAUAUUGUGAAGUGGCCUAUAUUGU